AGUGCCUACGGGGCGCAGCAGUCGGGAAUAUUGCACAAUGGAGGAAACUCUGAUGCAGUGACGCCGCGUGCAGGAAGAAGGUUUUCGGAUUGUAAACUGCUUUAGGUAGGGAAGAUAAAAGACUGUACCUAUAGAAUAAGCUCCGGCUAACUACGUGCCAGCAGCCGCGGUAAUACGUAGGGAGCAAGCGUUAUCCGGAUUUAUUGGGUGUAAAGGGUGCGUAGACGGGAAUUUAAGUUAGUUGUGAAAUCCCUCGGCUUAACUGAGGAACUGCAACUCAAACUGGAUUUCUUGAGUGCGGGAGG
rnacentral:rRNA from 1 species